UCCCUGGUGGUGCAGUGGUUAAGACUCUGCACUCUCAAGGCAGGGACCCAGGUUCGAUCCCUGGUCAGGGAA